AUGAAAUCAGAAGAUCGAGACCAGCCUGACCAACAUGGAUUCCAGGUCUUGGCAACCUUUGAAAUUCCAAUUCCAUUUGAGAGAGCUUUGAUGAGGCCAUAUGCUGAUUUCACCACCAGCAACUUCACAACCCAGUACUGGAAUGCCAUCAGCCAGCAGGCCCCUGUCAUCACCUGUGACUUCUAUCUGUGGCUCACUGGAAGGAAACCCAGUGCCAGGGCCUGUGCAUGCCAGACAAGGCCAAGAUGGCUCAAAGAGCAACCAGCCACCUCAGCAACCUGCCACCUCCUGCUGGCAGGAUUUGUUUUUGCAACCUGUGAAGAGUCAAGGAGGCACAAAGGCAUAAGUCUACUCACUUAUAUCUGUUUGUCUGGAACAUAACCCAUGUUUGUUUUUACAACAAAUAAAAUUGAUCUUGAAUAAAAA
rnacentral:lncRNA from 1 species